rnacentral:lncRNA from 1 species
UGAGUGAUGUGACAGAGUAAUUUAAUCGCAAUUAAGAAACCUAGAUUUAUUGUCUUUUUUAUGAGUACCUUAAUAUUUACAUAUCAAACAUAAUAACUUCUAUCCAUUGAUAUUCUAAUUUCUUUUAGAAUAAAAGUGUAAAGAAAAUAACAUUAAGCUUCCUAUUUACAUCCAAAUUUUGAUUAUUAAAACGUCUUAAAACUUAAAAUUUUUCGCAAUUAAAAAUAAAUAUUUAAAGUUUAAUUUAACAUCAUUCAAAAUAAUCAUUACAUAGUCAAAAUGUAAUAUCUUGAAAAAUAACCUUUAGUGGAGUACACGUGACAGCCUGACAUUGAGCAUAGUUUUAAAAUGAAACUUUGAUUAAAAUACUCCUUUUUCCAAGUUCAGACUUCUUUCUUCACUGUCCAUGCACAUCUUUCACUUUUUUUCUUCUCUUUUCUCUACUUCACUACCUUCCAUCCUCCAUUGCUCAAAAUCUAACCGAUUGAAUUUCAAAUUGAAGCUACCCAAGCGUUUGUGACUGCAAGAGGAUCAUUUCCCACCGAUUGAACCUCCGUUUCGUCCAACCGGUAAGAAAGCCUUUUUCCUUCCUUGCCCUAGGGUUUAAAGCAUGAAAUUUCUUAUUUCAUGCAACCCAUUUCGUUCCUUCCACAAUCUAACUUCAACUUGGUGCUAAAAUUCGUUCUCCAUCAUCAAUUGAUGAUUUUAGGUGAUUCUCACACUUUGGGUUCAAAGUACUUGGUCUAGGAUCAUUCCUUGAGUUGGCCGUGCACCCUAGAGGUAAGGGGAGCUAACUUUCUUUCCAUUUUUAUAGUAUGUUGUGAAUGUAUGAUAAAUUUUAAAGUUGUAUGUUGUUGGAAGCAUGAAAUUGGUUGAAUUGGUUUGAAAUUCAUGUAUGAAAAUGGGUAUGUUGUGUAGAAUUGAUGAUUGAUGAUUUUGGACUGUUUGGAACCCCUUGGUAUGUUGAAUUAGGCAUGAUUGGGACUGUGAUGAUGAUUGAAAUCUGUUGUGGUAGUGUUUGGAAGAGAAUCAAGUCAUUUAGAGCCACUUUUAAGCCAUUUUAAGGGAAGUAAGGUAGUGAUUUUGAGUAUAUGGGGUUUGUUGUGCUUGUGGACUGUUGGGACAGUUUCACUAAGUGUAUUGUGACUUGUUUGAGUCACCAAAUUUACCAAAAUAGGUGCAGAAUGGUAAGAUUGGGUUUUGGGUCCCUAAGUUGAGAAAUUGAGUGUUUAGAGUUGAAAUGAAGCUUAAAUCACUUUAGAAACGUGUUAGUAAUGUUUAGAAUCACUUAGGUAAGUUUAAUUAUGUCUAAAACGAAGAUUAGAGGUGUUAGAAGUUUUAAAAGUGGUAAAAACAUUGCUUAACUGGUAGAAUUAGAAUCGAGCACAUAUGUUGAUGAAAUUGAGUAAUUUGAAUGUAGAUUGAUGUGAAAUCACUAGAGAAUUGGUUUAGGAAGUGUUAAAGUUGAUUAGGCAAGUUAGAUUCAUCAUAUAGAUCAAGUUAGGAGUGCUAGAAAUCCACCAAAAGGCCUAAAAUGAAACUUAGGAGUGUGAGUUUGAAAAAUCUGCACUUGCUGUCAACUGGUGUAGCGCCCAACGCCAUUAAUCCCGCUCAGCGCCACUGGACGCAGCAGCACUUUUUAGAAUUUGUUUUUGGUAGUUUUUGGGGUUUCGGAUGUCCGUUUUAGACGUUCUUUAGGUCGUUCUGGGGGUUUUUGACCCUUCCGGAACCAUUGGUGAGGGUUUCAAGGCUAUUUGGAUUACUUAAGUAUAGGUAAUUAUAGUUGAUAAAGAAAUGGGUAUUAAUAAAUGAUGUUUCUUUGAAGAUAUGUACUGUAAGAGUUAUAUAUGUUUAUUUUGCUCCUGAAUGAGAUGGUAUGAUUGAUUGGAUGAGGUUGGUGAAGUGAAUCAAGAUUGGUGAUAUGGAUUAUGAACUUUGAGAAUUAUUCUAAGAUCUCUAGGUGAGAUCACUUUAGUGUAUGAAUGAAUAUUGAGGCUCCUUCAAGGGAGGUUAUCCCUAAUACUCUGACGGUCUUUCAUUCUCAAAUAGAGAGGAUCGACGCGGGUGGUGAGAGUAGUGGGAAGUCCUAGGGUAGACGCUUCCACUGUAGGUCUAUUCCGCGGUAACGGACUCGCCUUGUGUGUGGUCGGGUGAAACCCCUCGACAAUGGCUUUGUAAAGCAGUAGAGUCCACCACAAGUGCAAAACCUGCCCAAGAUCAAUAUUCAUUCCUAGUCCGGACGAGUCUAGGUCAAUUAGGAUUUAUUUAUGUUUGAUUGGUUGUUGCUUGUAUGCUCUCUUUCUUGAAAAUGCAUUGGAUAUGUUUGUUUUAAAUACUAGCUCACCCUUGCAAUUGUAUGUUGUGUGUGUUUGCUUUCUCCCUUGCGAUGAUCAUCCAAUCCUUUGGAUGUGAGCAGUAGGUGAUGAUGUAUCUCUGGAGCAGGCAUUGGAGACCGAGGAAGAUCCAGCACCUAGUGCUUAGGCGAUCAUGUUGUUUUAUUUCUUUUUAGCUUAUCAUGUUUUGCAAAACCUUAGACCUUUGUACUUUAAUUACUUGUUUUAAUUUUUCCCCUCUGUUUUUGGAUGACUGUAAUUUAUACUUAUACAGUUAUUUUCUACUCCUAACUGCUUUCUGUUAUUAUAAUAUGUUGCAUUCCAUUUG